GCGUGCAAAGAGGCUAGUGCAUAAUUAUAUAUAUAUAUAUAUAUAUGCGGCCUAACGGGCCGGGCUUUCUUGGGCUUAAUCGGGCCGGGCCUAUGAGCCAGCCGGGCUUCAAACACCCAAGCUUAACCCGACCCAAGGUGGGCCAGGCCAUCUCAAAGCCCAUAAUGGGCCGGGCCGGACUUUUGUUUCAAUGGGCCGGGCGGGCCCCCAUCGGCCCAUGAGACCGCGGGCCAAAUGAUGAGGCCUACUUGUAGCUCAAGUGAUUGCAAAGAAUUACCCUUGCACCUGACCCGAGGUCUUGAAUUUAAUUUCCCACUCCCCAAAUAGCGCUUGUAUUAAAAAAAAAAUUAUCAAUUAUUC
rnacentral:lncRNA from 1 species